AGUGAACGCUGGCGGCGUGCCUAAUACAUGCAAGUCGAACGGAAUUUAAAAGAGCUUGCUCUUUUAAAUUUAGUGGCGCACGGGUGAGUAAUAUAUAGCUAAUCUGCCCCUUGCUGGAGGACAACAGUUAGAAAUGACUGCUAAUACUCCAUACUCCUUUUUACCAUAAGAUAAAUCGGGAAAGAAUUUCGGCAAGGGAUGAGACUAUAUCGUAUCAGCUAGUCGGUGGGGUAACGGCCUACCGAGGCUAUGACGCGUAACUGGUCUGAGAGGAUGAUCAGUCACAUUGGAACUGAGACACGGUCCAAACUCCUACGGGAGGCAGCAGUAGGGGAUAUUGCGCAAUGGGGGAAACCCUGACGCAGCAACGCCGCGUGGAGGAUGACACUUUUCGGAGCGUAAACUCCUUUUGUUAGGGAAGAAUA
rnacentral:rRNA from 1 species